rnacentral:rRNA from 1 species
UACGUAGGGUGCGAGCGUUAAUCGGAAUUACUGGGCGUAAAGCGUGCGCAGGCGGUUCGUGAUGUCUGAUGUGAAAGCCCCGGGCUCAACCUGGGAACUGCAUUGGAAACCAGCGGGCUGGAGUGUGGCAGAGGGGGGUGGAAUUCCACGUGUAGCAGUGAAAUGCGUAGAGAUGUGGAGGAACACCGAUGGCGAAGGCAGCCCCCUGGGCUAACACUGACGCUCAUGCACGAAAGCGUGGGGAGCAAACAGG